rnacentral:lncRNA from 1 species
GACAAAACAAAGAUUAUUGUCUUAUUUAAUACCCAGCACAACUGGGCGGGGCAGGGGCAGAUUCCAGGGGCUACAUGUCAUAAUCCUCUUCACAACAGCAACUUCAAAUGUGGUCCCUAAUCUUAAGAGUAGCAGCAGGGUCAGCAGUAUUGGGCUUCACCAUUACUAAGCCAGGGCAAUGAGUACAACUUCACAAGUCCAGCUCCGCUUAGCUCACACCAGUAAUUAGAUGUUUUAACACGUCAUGGCAAUGAUAUCUAACAUGAAGGCAAACUGUAUUAAGACACAGCAUCACCCAGUUUUAUACUGUAAGCUCAUUUCCAAACAUUAUUUGUUUUUAUAAAUUUGAGCGAGGCUGACUCUUUCCUCUCUGCCUUUAAUUAAUAAGGAAAGCUUAAUAUGCACUUUUUUUUCAUCAAUCUGGCACUAAAAAUCCUGAAUUCCUUUUGUAGUAAUUUGAAAGAAGAGUUUGGGGCUAUUAGGAGAAAUUCACAUUAGGCAUUUCCCUACAUGGCCUACUUAUGUUUUUCAAAGUGAAGGGAUAUUUCAAGGAAAGAAAGACUUGGGGUACUAGAGAUGUCUGCCCCAUCUAAAGUCUUAUUUUUCUAUUUCCUAUAUCAAGAAGCCUUAGGUACAUUUUAGUAACAUAGCUUGAAAUAUAUUUUGAAAAGGGGAACAAGACGUAACCUGACCCACUACAGAAAAAUGCCUCAUGUAGAUCCUUGAAUGAAUUUAUGACUGUAAAAGUCCCUCUCUUUUGUUUCCUGGGUAAUUAUUUCACACAUUUGGGAGGUUUAUAGGGAAUGCGUAUCAGCUUUUCAAGUAAAAAGUGUGAGUCUCUGACUCUUCCUGGAAAUCUGGAAGCAACAGAGAAUGAGAAAUUCUCAGGCAGCCUCCAAAAUUGAGCAAGAGAUACUGCAGGUCACCUUCAGUGCUGAAUAUUCCAAAGUUAACUUCGUUAAAAAUGCACAAACAACCUGAUAAAAUAUCUGAUUUUACCUUUUAAAAGUAGGAUUAAAAAUUUAGGAAGCUUCGUGACUUACUCUCGCAUCUCUCUUUGAUAUUUCUUUGUUUGGUAUUUCUCUCACCUCUUAUGCCCUGGUGGAGUCUAUUGUUGGUUUAUGUGUAACAUGAUCGAAUAAAGCAAAAUUGUAAACAUUUUCUUUUUAAAUAAAUAGACUUUUACCUGAACAUUAUAAUCACAGUAUCUCAUUCAUCCAUUCACUCAUUCAUUCAUCCAUCUAUUCAUUCAUUCACCCAUUCAUUUAUUCACUCAGGUAUUUUCUGAGUUCUUUCUGUGUAUCUGGCGCUCCUCUAAGCAGUGGGGAUACACAUGUCCCCUGUUCUCAUGAGCUUACAGUCUCCUGGUGAAGGAUUUUAAUCAAAUCAUCACACUUGUGCCUAAGGGUUUCAAACUGAGAUAAGGAUCUCAAAAUAAAGGAGCAAACACCCGAAGGAUCAAGGACGACUUCCCUGUGGGGGUGGUCCCUGAGCCAAGGGCUUCAGCAGAAGCAGAGGUUAAGUAAGUAGGAAGUAGGACAAGCCCUCCAAGAUAGGGGAAUGCAGUUAGGGCCUCGAGCAGGAGGAAACAGGGGCAAAGCUCUGAAAGUAAAGGACAGGUAGUAUUUGCUGAGCUACUCUAAGACAGAUUCUCCCACCUAUGCUGACAGCAUGCACAAUUUCAGCUCAAUGAAUACAAAUGAAUGCUCUAAGUAUUUUUUAGAUUCUCUAGAUUAUGCACAUUGAGGAGCAGUUUGGGGUAGGGAUGAUGGAGGUCUGGCCAUUAGACUCAGGCUUUAAAGAGGUUCUGGGAAGGGGAGCCAAUCUGAAGUACCUGGAAAUUGGAAAAAAUAGAUGAACAGUGAUUUUAUCUGGCUUCCAAUGGCAGAUAAAUUUCCUUUCGGGAAAGGCAGAUAUUCUCAUUUCAAGCCAGGCUCCUCUGCCCUCACUUUAGCAUAUGAGGAAACUGAGCUCUUGAGUUCCUGGAAACCUUUGAGAAUAUGGAGACAGCCUUUUCACUAGGUCAGUUUAGCUUCAGAGGGAAUGAGAUGGCUGACUUCCCCCACACAUUAGGACUUUCAUUCCAACCCUCGGCCAGCACCUAGGGAACAAAGCAAGGCCCCAGCUUUAGUUCUACUUAAAGUGAGACACUGCUUGCUCUUUCACACUCAGGUUAACAUUCACUCCAACAAUGAGUUCAGAAGUGACCAUGGGAAGACAAGAGGCUUUCCAAAUAACUACCUCACCAUGGCACAGGGUCUCUGAGGGCUGGGCAUGUUAGAGUCUGAGAUAUAAAACACAGUAUAAAGAACGUUCUAUUUUGCAAAACAAUCACAUUCUACAAUCUAUACCUAAGUAACAGGAAGAGAGCAGAUCUCAUUAUGUCCCUUCUACAAGAAGAACAUCUGCAUUGAGUUGGGUGUCUUCAUAGGGAGUCAUUCUCAGGGAACGUGAAGCUUCCUCCCCAUCACCCUGACCUCCCUUCCCCUGUAAAUUUCCACAUUGAUUGAUUGUAAACAAAUUGUGUUCAUCUGCCCAGAUUCCAUUAUAUCAAAAAGACAUACUCCUCUCCACAAAUAUCGGAGAUAGACAGACAGAUAAAGAGGAUUACUUUCCAGUAGCAGGGGUUCCUCCCCACUCUUCCUCCACAGAGAACUUUAUUUCUAGUACAUAGUAGAAGAAAGAGUCAAGAGACGGAUGAGAAGACAAACUCAGCAAAGCCUUAUUUUUAUGCUGCUGUUGUUUUUAACCUUUAGUGGGAAGUAAUAGGAGACCUCAUACUUUAUGAAGCCUUUUUGUAUCUGGUGGUAGUUUUUAAAAAGACCAUCAGCUAAAAUAUAAAUAUAAAUUUAACCAUGGAUGAUUGUAAUUUCCUGCAUUAUAUUUUUAUGUAUUUUCGAAAAGUAUCUGUAAUGAGCGAGUAUCAUCUCUGUAAUCAGAAAAGAAACUAUGAAAAUAUCCCCAGUGAGAUCUGUGUUUGCUCACAGGGCACUAUUUGGCAUGAUGAGAGUGAGGGGAAUGAUCUGAAUGUUUUCAGUGCCAAGCACCAUGUUGGCCUCAAUCGGUAGCAAUUCUAAUUCUUUUUCCUGUGGAUUUGUAUCAGUUGCUGGUUCAUUUAAAUCAGCUAUUAAAGGAAUAAACAUGAAUCUUAAAAAUACAUUUAGAGAAAGUAUAUUGUUCUAAAUUAAGCAAGCAGUUGGCAUUUCAAAUCAUAUGGAAGCAGAUGAGGGGAACCCGCUCUCACCAGAUCUCAAUCCACUUUGCAAACUGCUUACUCCUUAACUUGGCUCCCUAAUUAGGGCAUUUUAUCUUUGUGAGCAUUUACCAUUACUGCAUCAUGAUAACUCUUGGCUAGUAUUCUGUGAAGAAAUAAUUAAUAAUAAUCCACACCAGCCAAAAGUAGAUAGAGCAACAUGAGCAAAGAACUAGGUUGGUGUGAUGUGGCUCAAUAACCACUUGGGGAAAAACAAUGAGAGGGUUUUUAUUGACCAAAGUGGUUUAACAAAUGACACUUAAGUGAUCUACUGGCAUUUUAGAACAGAGGCAAGACUGCUCACUCAUUAAGUCAUUUUAAAAAUAGUCAUUAUAGAGCUUUUGCCAUAAAUCAAGAACAAAAGAUUCCAGGAAAUAAUUUUUUAUAAUUCAUAAACACAUAGUAAUGUGGAAAGAAGGACUCUAUAGAGUUGAACAGGGUUAUCAAUUACAUUUUCCAGUUGUCUAUCCUAGAGACAACAUUCCUUCCGUGAGUUCAAACCUUAAACAUCCAGAUGAGGUAUUGUGGGUAAACUUGAGGAUUGACACACUUCAGCAGACUACCAGCUCCAUGAGAUCAAGGGCCACAUCUGUUUUAUUUAGCGAGAAGCAGAAUUAGGCCAUGUGUGACAGUGGGUGUUACUCAGCAGGUGCUCAGUGAAUAAUGAAUGGAUUAAUGACAUUGUAUAGUAGUGUCUGACUUUGCAAACAGAAAAUCACAGCCUUUGUGAAUGUAAAUUUACACAGUAAACCCAAUACCAUAUAGACUUUUAGUGAUAUUUUGGUAUUUAGAAAAAAGACUAAGAUCUUCUCCAGGUAGAAAGGUAUUUUGUCAAGUAUUUGCUGUGUGUGUUUGACUUGUUUUGGCCUGCAAUGUAAAUGAUCCUGAUAGACAUCUAGUUCUACUGGGUUCCACAGCACUUCUUUAGCCAGUGGGGUCUUGUAUUCAACUUGUAUUUAUCACGUCCUUCUAAUUUCACUUGUCUCACCCUGGCUGUUAUUAUAAUCCCAAACAGACAGAUACAUUAGUACCCCAGGCUUAAGUCUCAUCCUAUUCAUUGCUAUCGGGUUAUUCUCUAGGAAGCAUCUUUCUUUUCAUCUUAGUCCCUUCUUCCUUCCUUCCAUCAGUCCUGAAUGCUUUCUGAGUCAAAUUCCGAGAGCAGACCCUGGCUCCUGAAUCUUUUUAUGCUCAGACCCUGCAACUGCUCAACAGUCGUUGUCUCCCUGAUCCUCUUCACACAGCCAUAUGUCGGCCAAGAUGCUCAACUCACUACUGCCACCUUUAUACCUAGGCUCAUGCCAGUCCCUUUGCAGAGAAAGAGAAACACAGAGGGAGAGAGAAACACAGAGUCUUGAGUCCCUGGAUCAAGCCAUACCUGAAGUCAGAAACUUCCCUUGAACUCUUUAAUUAUGUGACCCAAUAAAUCAUCCAUUUACUGUAGCCAGUUUGGGUUUUCUGACACUUGCAACUGAAAGAGUCUUUAACGUAUGCAGGGAAGAGGAGAUGAGGAAGAGAGGAACAUAAAAAUGAAGUAAAACGAAACAGAGGAAGAAAACAAUGAAAGAUUUGUCCAAGGCUGUAGAACUAAACAGUAUUGGAUAAGAAUAUAGAACAUGAAGCCCAGAGCCCAAGACUCUUUCCCCUACUACUUCCCUUCAGAAAUUAGUACUAUUACUCAUUGCCACACAUUGUUACUUUAAACCUAACCAAAUGAGAAGUGACCUGCCAUCAAGCUCCCGCAGGUUUAAGACAUAUAUUUGUCCUGAGUAACUUAUAUUGUUUUCCUGGCGUAGUACAUUUAAGAAUUACUUUUACAAUUAAGCUGCCCAAGGGGUCUAUAGAUGCCCGUUUUAAUUUAAAUAAAUACUAAUGCUAAAAUCAAUUUGUAGGAUAUUUCAAUUGGACCGAUAAGUACAGUCUUCACUAAAUCCAAAGUAUUUCCCUAUUAGCGCAUCUUUAGAAGCGUAUACCAACAACACAUCAGGAUUUUCAGAAACCUGCUACAAAUACAUUACUCCCAGAGACUGGAUCAAACAGCUGAUGAUCAAAACAUAAGGCAAAAACUAGUAUUUCAUCUUUGAAUUCGGAGUACCUGAUUUCUACUAAAUAUUGAUUAGAGUUUUUCCCAUAAGAGAUCCUGCUUUGUGCCUCCUUAAUUUUCUUGGUUUCAAUAGUGCUUUGUGCAGAGAACAGCAGAAGUAAGGCAGAGGAUACAGCUGUCAUCUGUGCCACAGACAUUGACAUGCAGCUUAGUCACAGAACAGAGAGAACACGUGAAAGUCACCAUCACACCCUCGCAACAGUGUCAGUGUAAAGACUCAGGUUCCAGAUAUGAAGACAGGACUGAAAAUGCUUCUGGCUACAAUGAAAUGAAUCUACCACACACUUGCCAACUUUAUUCAAACUGAUGAUAUUUUUCUUUAAACAAUGGAUUUAGUUAUUCUACCCGUAAGAAGUCCAGGUCGUUAAUGAAAUGAUAAUUUUCUACAAACUAAAAACAAACAUAUCUCAUCCUACUAAUGGUUCCUGCCUCUCCAAUAUUUCACUUAGGCCAUCUCCCUUUUCUCUUCUGGUAGAACAACUUCAAUAGGUAAGAAAGUUUUCUUACAUCCGGGAAAUUUCUUUAACCACCAAAAUCCAUGGUGUUUGCUUUUCAUCUUCAACUCACUCCUUGGUCGUUACGACAUGUUGCCUCCUAUUUCUGGUUAUCUAUGUUAGUUUCCUGCUCUUCCUACAGAAUUGCAACCCCGGAAAGAGAGGUACUGAGUCUCACACACCUUCUUCACCUGGAGCUUGUAACAACAUCCUACAAAGCAAGUAAUCAACAUGUGUUUUACAGAGAAAACUGGUUAUCCCUGGACUGUAUUAAAACAGUGGUAUGGGUACUCUAAAAUAACACCAAUGUGAGUGUAGAAUGCAUUUCUCAUUUAAGAGAGGUGUUCAUUCAGCCUGAGGAUGGGAGAAUUUACGAAACCUCAAACCCCAAUUGGCAAACAGCCUCUCUACCUUCCCAGUUUACAAAACCCUACCUGAGAGAAGGUGUCUUCUCUCAAAUGAAGACUUCCAGAUCCUGUUCUCCACAGACAAUUAAAUGUGGUUUAAAAGUUGCUGCUGGGAGCUGAGGUUAUUACCCACUUUCUGAUGAGGCCGGCGCCACCAAAACCAGCCUGUGGGAGCUGAUUUCACUAGGACUCCCCCAACAUUUUCUUGAUGUUGGAGGUGUAACGGGGUCUCAGUUCCUGUUCAACUCUGCCUCUGACUGGAUUCUAGGUCUUGAGCAAGUCACUGCUUCCCUCUGAACCUCAGUUAACCUCAUCUUUAACAUGGGGAUAAAAUUCCUGGCACCAUAGCUACCUCACUCAAUGCUGGGGAAAAUUAAUAAUAUUGAUAGUGUUAAUAAUUAAAUAAUAGCUAACAUGCACUGAGUUAUACCAUAUUCUAGG